rnacentral:lncRNA from 1 species
GUGUAAGGAAGAACAGAAGGAUCCAAGUGUGAGAAAGCCCACCCUGAGUCUCUCAGAGAUUCAUUUCACUACCAGGUCAAAGACACAAUCAAAAGCCCGACAAAUGGAAUUUGUGGAAUUGGAACAAAAAGCUUUUCUUCCUAGGCACAAGAACAUCAAAGCAUAAAUCCUUCAGGUAUCAGCAAUGACAUCACUUAAGAAUUUCUCAGAAUCUUUGGCACCACCCCAGGCCUACCGGAUCAGAAUCUGAAUUUUUUAACAAGAUCUCAGAUCCUGAAUUCCAGCAGAAUGGCUGACACCAACUGGUCUGAAGACCCUCACCAAGGAACUGACUCAGUGCAGGAAUGCAGUUUCUUCAUCUCCCUAUCCCUGACUUCACCCCUCACUUCUCAACCAAUCAGUGAUCACCACACUUUAGGCCAUCACCUGUGUCCAGACCCCUUAAAAACCCCAUCUGCAAACCUCUUGAAGAGGCAUAUUUGAGGUUUCCUCUCAUCUCCUCAUUUGGUUUCCCUACAAUUAUUAAAUUCUUUCUCUGCUGCAACUCCUACUUUUUCAGUGUAUUGGUCUGUUACUGUGCAACAGGAAAUCAGACCUGGUGGUCCUAUAGUAAGAGUUCACAGAAUAUGAUAUACAAAGUGAUCUGUGAUAUACAAAAACCGGCACAAUCUCACUCUUAAUAAGAAAAAUUCAACUUAAAAUUAAAAGUUUUUUUUCCUCAGAAUGGCAAAGAUCAAAGUUUGAUAACAUGGUUGGAAAGUAUGCAGACCGAUAUUCUCAUAUUCAUUGAUGAAGUGUAAAUUGAUACAUCCUUUGUCAGUACGGACAGGUUUCCCAACUCUAGGGGUGAAAUUUAUACAGACUACAGUGUGAAUGACAACCACUUCAAAUUGGGUGAUAUGAUGACCUUGACUCUGUGGAGGGUCAUUUGGCAAAAUAUCUCAAAAUAAAAAUGUACAUACAAUUUGA